UCCCCCUCUCCUCCUAUGGACAGCUAGCAAAUUGCCUCCCUGGGGGCGAGUGGCAGGCUGAGAACCGCAGCAGAGGGAGGGGGAAGCGCCAACAGUCUCUUUCCUUUGAGGAGCCCAAGAACUUUACUAAGCCUCCUGCCCUGGGGUAUUAUGCCGUCUCUCUAGGAUGCAGGCUGGUUAGUAAACACCCCAGACGCAGCCCUGCUGUCCUGGGAAAGACAAAGGGAUUGUGGCUGCUGACUCAUGGCAAACCAGGAGCUGAAUUCCCUGCGUGUGCAGUGUGUCCGCACACCUGUGUGCGUCUGGUGUCGCUGUGCUGAUCCACUAAUGACGAAUGGACACAGGACAUUAGACCCUGUCCCCAUCGUGGGGAGAACCACCCAGACUCUGACAGAGCCCCAGGGCCUGGCGUCUCUCUGGCUCGCUCUCUUUUUAACACUUCGGCAACACCUGUA